rnacentral:misc_RNA from 1 species
GAACAACAUUAAGAAGAGCAUGACCAGCAGCAUGUAAGCCUCCUCGGAAUGAAUAAUUUAAGGUCUCUACAGCUGUCUUUAUGGUCUGAGGAACUUGAAUCCAGACAGCCUGGGUUUCAUAUGUGUAAUUAGGAAGUGAAAGUUCAACAGUGUCAAAGACUUGGUUGCUCUUUUUCCAUAUUUUGCGGAAACCAAACCACGUGGUCGUUACUCUGCAACUUUGUGCUUGGGCAGUUGUUCUUGGAAGUUGCAGACUAGUAGUCCUUGCUGGGUAAGCAAAGUUGGCACCAGUAACUUCGACAUCAGUGUAGUCACGUGUUUUGGUAUAAUAUUUCAAGUCCGCUCGUUGGCACCAAGCAAUUCUGUUUGUCACAUCAAGCUCCUUCACAAGAUACGUUUUCCCCUGAUUCAUAUAAUUA